UGGAGGUCUCCAUGAAGUGGGCAUUUUCUCACUUGCAAGUUGGACUCAGUGGAGCAUCACCGACAUCUUCGGAUGGACUUUGAUCAAGUCAUGCUGCCACGUGGGCAGCAGGAUUGGGCUGCAGCUGCUACCUGCUGUGUUGGGCUGCUGUAGUCUUCCUAGGACUUGGACUUGGCUGGCACAAGCAAAGACUUUCCACUGCCCUGCUCCCCUGGAAGCUGUCUCGCAGCAGAAACCAAACAUAACUCAUAAAA
rnacentral:lncRNA from 1 species